AUUGUCUACUUGUGACGUCUUUUCCUUGCAGUCGACGGCAGCGCGGGGCAACCUGGCGGCGAGUGGCGAACGGGUGAGUAAUAUAUCGGAACGUACCCAGAAGUGGGGGAUAACGUAGCGAAAGUUACGCUAAUACCGCAUACGAUCUACGGAUGAAAGUGGGGGACCUUCGGGCCUCAUGCUUGUGGAGCGGCCGAUAUCUGAUUAGCUAGUAGGUAGGGUAAAGGCCUACCUAGGCGACGAUCAGUAGCUGGUCUGAGAGGACGACCAGCCACACUGGGACUGAGACACGGCCCAGACUCCUACGGGAGGCAGCAGUGGGGAAUUUUGGACAAUGGGCGCAAGCCUGAUCCAGCAAUGCCGCGUGAGUGAAGAAGGCCUUCGGGUUGUAAAGCUCUUUUGUCAGGGAAGAAACGGCUCCGGCUAAUAUCUGGGGCUAAUGACGGUACCUGAAGAAUAAGCACCGGCUAACUACGUGCCAGCAGCCGCGGUAAUACGUAGGGUGCAAGCGUUAAUCGGAAUUACUGGGCGUAAAGCGUGCGCAGGCGGUUUUGUAAGUCUGUCGUGAAAGCCCCGGGCUCAACCUGGGAAUUGCGAUGGAGACUGCAAGGCUUGAAUCUGGCAGAGGGGGGUAGAAUUCCACGUGUAGCAGUGAAAUGCGUAGAGAUGUGGAGGAACACCGAUGGCGAAGGCAGCCCCCUGGGUCAAGAUUGACGCUCAUGCACGAAAGCGUGGGGAGCAAACAGGAUUAGAUACCCUGGUAGUCCACGCCCUAAACGAUGUCUACUAGUUGUCGGGUUUUAAUUAACUUGGUAACGCAGCUAACGCGUGAAGUAGACCGCCUGGGGAGUACGGUCGCAAGAUUAAAACUCAAAGGAAUUGACGGGGACCCGCACAAGCGGUGGAUGAUGUGGAUUAAUUCGAAUGCAACGCGAAAAACCUUACCUACCCUUUGACAUGGAAGGGAAAUCCUGAAGAGAUUUGGGAGUGCCCGAAAGGGGAGCCUUUCACACAGGUUGCUUGCAUGGGCUGUCGUCAGCUUCGUGUCAUGAGAUGUUGGGGUUUAAGUUCCCCGCAAACGAGCGCAAUCCCUUGAUCAUUAGUUUGGCUACGGCAAGGAGCUACUUCUUAAUUGAGACUGUCCGGUUGAACAAACCCGGUGAGGACGGGUUGGGGUAUGACGUCAGUUCCUCUAUGAGCUCUUUUAUGUGGGCUAUGGGAGCGUAUCACUACUCACCCAAUCCAUGAUUA
rnacentral:rRNA from 1 species